GGGAAGCUGCAUUUCUAAACAAAGACUCCUUCAAAAGAUCUUCCAGUAACUAUCUUGAAUUUACCUUGCUAUUUGAAGAAAAAAGAAGAAAGAAAAUAAUGCAGCUUAAGGACAAAAAAAGGUGUAUGGUAGGACGUGUGAGUGCUGCUCAUGUUAGCUCUCCGCCAAUUUACCUUAAGCAUCCAAAACAGCAAGGGACAUUUCUGAACAACCUGGAGUAUUCAUCCUGGAUCUGAAAAGAAAAGAUGAACACAUAGGCUUAUUAACAGAUCUUGGAACAUCAUCUUCAAAAGGAUGAACAGAAUAAUCCAUAUCUAGCUACAAUGAGCUUCAAAAUAU